CCUACGGGUGGCAGCAGUGGGGAAGAUUGGGCAAUGGAGGAAACUCUGACCCAGCAACGCCGCGUGAAUGAUGAAGGUCUUCGGAUGGUAAAGUUCUUGUCUAAGGGAAGAAGAAAGUGACGGUACCUUAGGAAUAAGCCUCGGCUAACUACGUGCCAGCAGCCGCGGUAAUACGUAGGAGGCGAGCGUUAUCCGGAAUGACUGGGCGUAAAGGGUGCGUAGGUGGUUUGGCAAGUUAGUAGCGUAACUCCAAGGCUCAACCUUGGAACUACUACUCAAACUGUUGGACUUGAGUGCAGGUGUGUCAACCGGCCUUCCUAGUGUCGCGGUGUCAUGCGUCGAUAUU
rnacentral:rRNA from 1 species